ACUUAAAUAGCUUAUAGAAGAGUUUAAUAUUGAAGAUAUUAAGGAGAUUAUUUAAAUCUUUAAGUA
rnacentral:tRNA from 2 species